ACACAGAGGUUUCCAAGGAAAUGGCAAUACAACUGAAGUACUAGUCAGAAGCAGAAGCAGAAAUAAUGUUCAACUGAGACCAGACAGCACAGUGAAGACGAACAAGCUGAGGAAAACACGGAUAAGAACUAACCCAAUAUUGUGAAUCAAAUAUAUCUAACAAAGAAAAAGCAUCUAAGACUUCCCUGUUGGUCCAGUAGUUAGGAAGCCACCUGCCAAUGCUGGGGACAUGGGUUCAGUUCCUGGUCUGGGAAGAUCCCACAAGCCUCGGAGCAACAAAGCUGUGCAUUGCAACUAUUGAGUCCAAACUCUAGAGCCUGUGCUCAGAAAGAAGAGAAACCUGAGAACCGCAAGGAAGAAUAGUCUCCACUGCAACUAAAGAACGCCUGCACGUGGCAAUGAAGACCCAGCACAGCCAAGACUAACUAACUAAAUAAAAAUUUUUAAAAAUCUA